CAGAGACUGCAAGCGUUACUCGGAUUCACUGGGCGUAAAGGGAGCGCAGGCGGAAUCGUGUGUCGGAUGUGAAACCCGGGGCUCAACUCCCGGACUGCGUCUGAAACUGCGAUUCUAGGGACUCGGAGGGGCUAGUGGAAUUCUUGGUGGAGCAGUGAAAUGCGUAGAUAUCAAGAGGAACACCAACGGCGAAGGCAGCUAGCUGGACGAGAUCCGACGCUCAGGCUCGAAAGUAUGGGGAGCAAAAAGGAUUAGAUACCCUUGUAGUCCAUACUGUAAACGAUGUCGACUAGGUCUUGGGGCAUUCGAACGCCCCAGGGCUCAAGCUAACGCAAUAAGUCGACCGCCUGAGGACUACGGUCGCAAGACUA
rnacentral:rRNA from 1 species